rnacentral:rRNA from 1 species
AUGGACGAAAGUCUGACGGAGCAACGCCGCGUGAGUGAUGAAGGUUUUCGGAUCGUAAAGCUCUGUUGUUAGGGAAGAACAAGUACCGUUCGAAUAGGGCGGUACCUUGACGGUACCUAACCAGAAAGCCACGGCUAACUACGUGCCAGCAGCCGCGGUAAUACGUAGGUGGCAAGCGUUGUCCGGAAUUAUUGGGCGUAAAGGGCUCGCAGGCGGUUUCUUAAGUCUGAUGUGAAAGCCCCCGGCUCAACCGGGGAGGGUCAUUGGAAACUGGGGAACUUGAGUGCAGAAGAGGAGAGUGGAAUUCCACGUGUAGCGGUGAAAUGCGUAGAGAUGUGGAGGAACACCAGUGGCGAAGGCGACUCUCUGGUCUGUAACUGACGCUGAGGAGCGAAAGCGUGGGGAGCGAACAGGAUUAGAUACCCUGGUAGU